AUUCUAGUAGCUUAUAUCAUCAGAGUAUUGCACUGAAGAUGCAAAGGAAGCAUAAAUUGCUCUAGGAUA
rnacentral:tRNA from 1 species